rnacentral:lncRNA from 1 species
GAAAAGUUCUCCAAGUCCCCACUCAACCCAGGAAGUCCAGCUGGCUUCACCUCUCAGUAGGAGCAGAAAAUUGGCGUUUUGGCUGCAGCACUCCUGGUUCUCAGGCCUUCAGAUUCAGACUGGAUCCACACCAUCAGUUCUCCAGCUCUUGGGCCUUCGUGUUACACCACUGGCUUUCCUGGGUCUCCAGCUGGCACAUGCCAGAUCGUGGGAAUUCUCAGACACCAUAAUCACGUGAGCCAAUACCUACAUUAGAUCUCUUUAUAUGUAUGUCUUUUAUUGGUUCUGUUUCUCUGGAGAACCCUAAUACAUUAUCUAAUUCUCUGAAUCUCAGCCUCCUUCUCUGUGAUUGGUGAUGAUAAUGACAGCUCAUAGGCCUGCCUGACACAUAACAUGGGCUCAGUAGAUGACACUGUUCACAUUCCCAUCUGACCUCACUAAUCCCUCCCCAAGCCCUAGGGAAGGCCUGGUUCUUCCACGUGGCCGGGGCCUGGCCACUGUGAGUCCUCCUGGGAGGCACAGUGAGAGGAAGCAGGUCUAGCUCACACCCACACCUGGUCUCUGGUCCCUGCUGACCUCUUCAGAUACGUGACAUAGUUGCUUUCUGGGAAAGUAACAAGUUUAAAAUGACUCCAGGCCAUCAUCUGUGUCAAGGACCAAUAGUACAGGGGCUGCCCCAUCUGUCUCCAUACCAGGGGCUCCCAGAGCAGGAUGCAGGGCCCGCACUGCACCCUUUACCCUCAUCCGUGGGGAACAGGUUCUGGGAAACCCAGGCUGGGAUGAAUAAAGCCACCUUAGUUCUUCUCGCCAUCAUGCCUGCAAACUCUCCCUUGACUUGCUCUUUCCUAUUCCCGGGUGGCACCCUGGAAAUUUUGUGUGGUUCUUCUGGUUACUUUCCUGUGCAGGGGGCUAUCAGCCCCAAGCUUGAGCCUCCUGAAAGACUGGGUUAGCUUCCAGCUGGCUUCUCUGUUUCACCUUUUGCCUCCUCCCCUUCUCUGGCUGCUGUCUGUGUCCCCUGUGGGGCCGGCACAGGCAGGGAGGAGGGGCAGGAGGGUGGCAAAGUCUUUCUUGCUGUCUUCCUUCAGGGCCCGCUGGGCUCGCUGGAGGUCCCAGUGCUGACCUGCUGUCUGAGGAAGUGCUUUUUUUGGGUCUUCAGAGCUCUCUGCCAGUUGAGGGGCUGUGUCCUUAGGUCCCUGGGCUGCAGUGGUGGCUCCUCUCACUGACUACUCGUGUCCACCCUCAGCCCUGGCCUCAGGGGCUGGUCUUCUGUGUGGUCCCCACCAUAGAUGAGUCCUGAAGCCAGCCCGCUUGGGGCCUCCUCCCUGAAUCCAUGCCUGGACCUCGGGCAGCUCGCAGCAUCCUGGCCUUACAUCCCCUACGGCCCCAUGUCCUGGCCUGUACAGCCCACCACAGCCCUGUGAACCCUGAGCUCGCCAGUUUCUGCCUUCAGGUGCUUCAGUCAGGUGUCAGAAACUCAACCCUGCAGCCCUCAAGCCCCAGAGAUGAUGCCCUACACCUCUCAGCUCAACAUGGGGAGAGAAGACACAGGCAAAAGGCAGAGCAACUGUGCUUGUGCACAAAGGCCUCUCUUGUGGACUCUGAACCCCAAGUGAAUUCUUGGAGCAGGUGAGCUCUGGAGCACCCUGUUGGCGAGUCCUGCACAGCUGCACGGGUGCCUUGCUGAGGCGCUCUCUGUCCGUUACCCCAGUCCAUGGGACUCAGCCAAAACUCCCCAUUCCCAGGAAAAUGUUUUAUGCCUGGUUCCAAAGGCCUCCCUCCUUGACUGGCCAUGCAAAGGUUCCAGGUAACCCAAGGAGGCAUCUGGCUACAGAAGCAACUCUGUUUGGUAGAUUCCUAUUGCAUAUGCUCUGUCCUCUUCUGAGUUUUUUGUUUUUUUUUUUCCCUUUUUCUUUCUCCACUGGAAACACCUGUUGCUGAAACCCUAGAAAUGCCUCCUGCAUCACUGGCACAGGAUUCUGACCUGAGCAUCAGUGGCAUCUGUGGGGACCAGGUGGCUGUGUCCUUUCUACAGACUGCUGUAUUUGAGGGAUUUUGUUAGGCUGUAGAGCCUGGUCAAAAGAGGAGACUUAAUGAUCAGACCAAAUUUUGACUUUUUGGCUCCUUCCAUUUAUCAUUUUUGUGGGGUCUUGGAACAGUUACCUAAUCCCAUUGAGGCUCAGUUUUUGAAUCUGUGGAAGGGGUACUGGAGGCUUGUGAGGCAGAGUUUGAAAGGAGGGGAGAGAGUGCCUAGCACAGGGCCCUCUUAUGGUCUCCCCGACCCCACCCCACCCCACCUGUGCUCGCCUCCCUCCUUCCGUUCCCCCAACACCACCCAUACCUUCCUGCCUCAUCUCUCCAUUCUUUCCUGAUGGGGUCACUCCCAUCCACCCUUGGUUGUUUAGUUUCCCCUCUCUGGCCAUUCCCCGGGUUCUUCCUUCUCUUUUGUGAUGUGGCAGCCAGAACUAUGGCUCCCAGGGGCAGGGGACCAGGCUAUCCUACAUAAAUGGGACAAUGUCUGGGCCAUUUUGGAUAUUCCUAAAGGGACCUAAUCCUUUUGUUAGAUUAAGGUUGAUCACUCAGACUCUGUGGGAGAUAGGGACAGACACCAAGUGGCCCCUGUGUCCCCAUUAGCAUCUGAAUCCCUCGGGCCCCAGGGAGCAGGCAGCAGGGUACCAGACUGUGGCCUUAGGAGUCAGAUGGGCUGACUAGCCAUGAGACCUUGGGCGAAGCUCCUCCUGGAUGGGGGUACUCAGGAGAUGUGUAUGUGAUGGUCACCUGUGAUUGAUUUUCACCCACUAUCAAAGUCAUCAUUGCUGCUGUCUUUCCCCACUCCUCCCUGUCCCUGGCAGAGACACCUGGCCUGGAUCCAGUCUGCCAGCACCUAUCAGGCGUCCUCCCUGUGGCAGGAGGGAGAGAGGCAACUGUGAAAACGAUGUCGAGGAACACUUAAGACCCAUCACAGGCAGGACUCGGGAGGCGUGCAGAGGAAGAGAGCAGUUUUCCACAGUCGACUGAGUCUUCAGAAUGCUUGUCCUCAAAUGUCCUGCCAAGAUAGACUGUUGGUAUGGACAUAACAUAGCCUUAAAACACAGUGACAAGACAGCCCUGGAGGAAGGGUGUGCCAGCGUAUGUGGGUUUCUAAUGAUUUCAUCUUCAAACAUGGUCUUGGACGCCACUGCUGCAGCUGCAGCUCUGUGGGAGCCUCUUUUCCAGCCGGGGCCUCCAGGGAGAGCUGGCCCAUGAGGCACUAGGCCCUGCCUUGGUGGGUGGGUGAGGACCCAGUUGCCCGCUGCAGGGCCCAUGAGCCUGAGGGCAGCCUGGAGCUGCAUGCAAUCCUCCUUCCAUGGGUCUCCCUGGUGUUACUGCUCACACUUUCUCAUGUUUGGCUGAGACCUUCUCUAGGAGCAACACCUUUGCUUUCAGGUUCCAGAGAAUAUGAACUGAAGAAUAAGCCGCGGCCAAGGCUCUAUGGCUGCCCCACUGGUCUGGCCACGGUCUUCAUUCCAUACUAGAACAUCCAAGGUGUUUCUGUAGGAACAAGCUAUUCCUAAACAUGCACAGAUGUGAAGUCUUUUUGCUGGGAACACAUAUAAUAUCCAUGGAGCCCAUCUGGGAAACACCAGGCUAGCUUAAUGAGCUUCUGCUUUCAGGGCAACUUCUUGAAGCCACAAAUUAAUUAGUUGGGGGAGAAAACCCAAACUUCAGAGCCAGGUUCGUGCGAUGGCAAUGUGUGGGAAUGCUCACCAUCACGUGUGACCUCCAGAGGCCUGCUGUGCCCUGAAGGCGCACACCCCAACUGUUGUGCACAAUAAAGUUCAAGGAAAGUGGCCUGGAGGCAGCUCAUGUGAGCUCACCUCUGCCUGCAUAGUGCAUGUGGGGGCUGCAUACCCUUCCACUAGCACCUGGCGGGGCCAGCCAUCACCCACGGUCCUCCCGUGCGUCCUUGUCUUGAAGCUAAUGCUGGAAAGCUGGAAUCUUUCUGUCUUCCACAGCACAAGAGUCCCACAUUCCCCCCCGUGCCAUCCCCCCAUGCUGUGUGUAGCCCUGGGUGGCCUGGAGCUGGAGGUGACUUCUGGGGAGAGCAGGGGCA